rnacentral:tRNA from 1 species
GCCUGGGUAGCUUAGUCGGUUAAGUGUCUGACUCUUGAUUUCAGCUCAGGAAAUGAUCUCAGGAUUGUGAGAUCAAGCCCUGCCUCAGGCU